AUAAAUAGAGGGUGGUGCAGUAUUCUAGUCAGGAUCGAGCUGCUUAAAGACGGGGUUAAAAUUCCGUUAAAGGGCACAUCGAUGAAGUUUCUGGUGUUGGCUUUCGUUGCCCAAACGGGGGCUGAUGCUGGGAGUUAAGGUUUAUGGGAGUCUCGUAAUGGCAUACGGCGGACCAACCCAUCUACCGUGGAGACCAAGAUCGGUGGCAUAAAUCUUGCUACUGCCUUGGGUGAAACCUGACAUGCGGCGAAAGCUGUGUGCAGAGUAGCCUGCUUUGAGUGGUAUUUGCGGAUUCGAGAACACGCGCAAGGAGGGUUGGCCAACCUUUCUAAACGCGAUUGCUCUAUGAAACAUUUCCUGCAACAGAUGCUAAGGCAGUCCGGUCCUGUCAAGGAAAGCUUCUAGACUGUUACUCGUGAUUGGGAUUAUAGUGUGGCCUGAGUGGUGAUUUAGUGAUGCGUGUCGGAAACGCCGCAUGGGAGGGCUCAAAGGGAAACCGCUUCUACGGCGACGGGAAGUGCUCUCCGGGGAAAUCCUACUAAACCUAAGCCGCAAAGUUUACCAAUCACGAAUCCACCUUUUUUU
rnacentral:sRNA from 1 species